rnacentral:rRNA from 1 species
AACGUAGGAGGCGAGCGUUAUCCGGAUUUACUGGGCGUAAAGCGCACGCAGGUGGCUGGCUAAGUGGGCCGUGAAAGCUCCUGGCUUAACUGGGAGAGGUCGGUCCAGACUGGCUGGCUUGAGGUUGGGAGAGGGGUGUGGAUUCCCGGUGUAGUGGUGGAAUGCGUAGAUAUCGGGAGGAACACCAGUGGCGAAGGCGGCACCCUGGCCCACACCUGACGCUGAGGUGCGAAAGCGUGGGUAGCAAACAGG